UAUUAAUUGACUCUUAAUAUAGUCUGUUUGUUUUGAGGGAAGUGGGGGAAAAUGGGAAGAAAGGAACUGAAAUCAAUUCAAUUUCAUAAAUGAAAAGAAAGGAGGUGAAAUUAACUCAUCUGACGUUUCCUCUCAAUAUGGAGAGAAAUGGUAGGAAAUUGAACUUUCUAGGCUAUAAUAUUUUUUUUUUCUAACAAGACCCCUUAUCAAUAUAAGGAAGGAUCCUUGUUCUAAGGGUAUCAUAGUGCAAAAUUUUUAUUUUCCAUUCUCUUCUCUUUAUUUCCCUUGAUU
rnacentral:misc_RNA from 1 species